ensembl:lncRNA novel transcript
AAUGUGGCGGGGCGGAGGGAUCGAGCUUUAAUUUUCAGCACUAUAAUAAUAGCUGACUCUUAAUUGUCAGGCACCUUACAUCAUCUCAUUUAAUUCUCACAACAGACUGAUGAAAUAUUUUCCCCAUGUUGCAGAUGAGAAGACAGAAUUCAUUUGACCUAGGUCGUACAGCUAGUAAACGGCCAAGGUGGAAUUUGAAGCCUGGUAACCCAACGAUAUAUUGCAUAUGAGUUUAACCAAAAUGCUGCACGGCCCAGCGGGGUGGGCCCAAGGCCGCUUGGGCUCUGCAGCAGGAAACGGGCUGGAAAAGCUCAGAGAGCCAGCAAAGACGUUUUCCGGGAAGGCAUGGUAUCUGAGCCAAACCCUAGGUGUUGUGCAGAAGUUGACCGAGUAAAGAAGUGAGCAAAGU